rnacentral:lncRNA from 1 species
GCGAAUAUUUCAACAAUCUACAGGGUGAAAUGUAAGGAAAUUUGGAAUGUCAUUGAAAUAAGGAUAUGUUGGUUCGGGUAGAAGUUUUCAUAAACAAAAGGUUACCUUGGUCAUUAAAAGUGUUCGUGAGCAAACAGUGAACAACGCAUUCUCCUAACAAGGACAUUGAAUUUAACGCCCUUAGUAUACUCGACUGAAAAUAAAC